rnacentral:rRNA from 1 species
GAUGAACACUGGCGGCGUGCUUAACACAUGCAAGUCGAACGAAGCACUUUUAUUUGAUUUCUUCGGAAUGAAGAUUUUAGUGACUGAGUGGCGGACGGGUGAGUAACGCGUGGGUAACCUGCCUCAUACAGGGGGAUAACAGUUAGAAAUGACUGCUAAUACCGCAUAAGACCACAGCACCGCAUGGUGCAGGGGUAAAAACUCCGAUGGUAUGAGAUGGACCCGCGUCUGAUUAGGUAGUUGGUGGGGUAACGGCCUACCAAGCCGACGAUCAGUAGCCGACCUGAGAGGGUGACCGGCCACAUUGGGACUGAGACACGGCCCAAACUCCUACGGGAGGCAGCAGUGGGGAAUAUUGCACAAUGGGGGAAACCCUGAUGCAGCGACGCCGCGUGAGCGAUGAAGUAUUUCGGUAUGUAAAGCUCUAUCAGCAGGGAAGAAAAUGACGGUACCUGACUAAGAAGCACCGGC